rnacentral:ncRNA from 1 species
CGCGGCCCGGCUCAUCCCCCCCGAGCCGGACCGUCGACGGCCCCCGCUCCCCCCCAGCGGGGGCCGUCUCCA